UAGUUUUAACCUAAAAAUGAUCUCCCCCAGACAAAUAACAAAUGCCGUAAAAAAAACAAAAACCAAGGUAGAGAGAAACACAGUGGGUUUUCGUCGUAUUUUACUUCCCAGUUCUGAGCAAUGAUUCAAGUUCUAAAAAUAACAAUGGCUGGGACCGACCGCUAUUAAUUGGGAGAUAUGAUUAAAACUCAUCCUUCGGAAAGAGUAUGAAGGCAGAGAUUUUGGUGCAACAGUCUCACGUGUGUGCGUGUGGUGGUGGGUGGGUGGGGGACAUGGAGCUCCAUAUUCUCCAUCUCCUUAAAACUGUGAAGACAGACACACCUCCGAGGAAAAGGCUGAGGUCCACAGCAGCAAAACAGGAUUCUGAUUCCGACAGCCUAGUUUUUCUUUGUAUGCUUAAAAUUUCACAGUCUCUACUUUCCUAAUACAGAAAGAACAGCAAGGACACGAGUCACCCCUAAAGAUUCCCAGUUGAUUUAGAUAUUGUAAUCAGAUUGGAUGGUACGUACUGCCACGGCCCAUUUUGAAACUGGAUUCUAGCUCUCUGUUUU
rnacentral:lncRNA from 1 species